ACUCCUACGGGAGGCAGCAGUGGGGAAUAUUGCACAAUGGGGAAACCCUGAUGCAGCCAUGCCGCGUGUGUGAAGAAGGCCUUCGGUUGUAAAGCACUUUCAGUAGGGAGGAAGGUAGUGUAGUUAACACCUGCAUUAUUUGACGUUACCUACAGAAGAAGCACCGGCUAACUCCGUGCCAGCAGCCGCGGUAAUACGGAGGGGUGCGAGCGUUAAUCGGAAUUACUGGGCGUAAAGCGCAUGCAGGCGGCCUGUUAAGUCAGAUGUGAAAGCCCGGGGGCUUAACCUCGGAAUUGCAUUUGAAACUGGCAGGCUAGAGUCUUGUAGAGGGGGUAGGAAUUUCAGGUGUAGCGGUGAAAUGCGUAGAGAUCUGAAGGAAUACC
rnacentral:rRNA from 1 species